rnacentral:rRNA from 1 species
AGAGUUUGAUCCUGGCUCAGAUUGAACGCUGGCGGCAGGCUUAACACAUGCAAGUCGAACGGUAACAGGAGAAAGCUUGCUUUCUUGCUGACGAGUGGCGGACGGGUGAGUAAUGCUUGGGAAUCUGGCUUAUGGAGGGGGAUAACUACGGGAAACUGUAGCUAAUACCGCGUAAUAUCUUCGGAUUAAAGGGUGGGACUUUCGGGCCACCCGCCAUAAGAUGAGCCCAAGUGGGAUUAGGUAGUUGGUGGGGUAAAGGCCUACCAAGCCGACGAUCUCUAGCUGGUCUGAGAGGAUGACCAGCCACACUGGAACUGAGACACGGUCCAGACUCCUACGGGAGGCAGCAGUGGGGAAUAUUGCACAAUGGGGGGAACCCUGAUGCAGCCAUGCCGCGUGAAUGAAGAAGGCCUUCGGGUUGUAAAGUUCUUUCGGUGAUGAGGAAGGUGUUUGUUUUAAUAGAACAAGCAAUUGACGUUAGUCACAGAAGAAGCACCGGCUAACUCCGUGCCAGCAGCCGCGGUAAUACGGAGGGUGCGAGCGUUAAUCGGAAUGACUGGGCGUAAAGGGCACGCAGGCGGUGACUUAAGUGAGAUGUGAAAGCCCCGAGCUUAACUUGGGAAUUGCAUUUCAUACUGGGUCGCUAGAGUAUUUUAGGGAGGGGUAGAAUUCCACGUGUAGCGGUGAAAUGCGUAGAGAUGUGGAGGAAUACCGAAGGCGAAGGCAGCCCCUUGGGAAUAUACUGACGCUCAUGUGCGAAAGCGUGGGGAGCAAACAGGAUUAGAUACCCUGGUAGUCCACGCUGUAAACGCUGUCGAUUUGGGGAUUGGGCUUAGAGCUUGGUGCCCGUAGCU